GAGAAUAUAGCUCAGUGGUAGAGCACAUGCUUACCAUGCAUGAGGUCCUAAGUUCAAUCCCCAGUACCUCCA
rnacentral:tRNA from 1 species